UAAUAAAUCGUGCGAAGAAAAGCCCGAAUUUGUGUAAGGCAAGACUUUGGAGUGUUUCUGUUCCGUAAAAGGGGAAUCUUACGACUCAUGAAGAUCAGAGCUGAUCUUCUCCGAUACGAGAGUAGAGCGCUGUAUUACCGGCAAACCUCAUAAACGGCCAUAGCAGUAAGUGGGGGUUUCUCGGAGAAGGAGGGAUAAACGAGCCGAGCCACGAUUUCGUUGUCGUAAACGUCAAAGUUACGGUUACAACGUUGUUCCUAGCUGCUUUAUAUUGAACGAGGUUGCUCCCCGAGAUCUGCACCGUAAAAGAGGUUCACUCUCAAUAGGCUGGAAUGAAGAGAUGCCUAAAUAGCACCCCAGCCUCUAUCGUCGCGCCCUCUAAUUACCCUGUAGACGCAGUCACCCCUCAAUGAGGAGUGAUAAAUAUUGUUCGCGUUUAGGUAUAUCCCGAGAAAGUGAAUCAGCUCUAUAAAGAAAGAUAUAUGCUAUCUCAUUGCUAUUGUUGAAGAUGAAGAAAAAAAGAAGUGACUCUUAAACCCGACCGAAAAAAACAGUAAAGAAGAUUCCCGUCGAGAAGGAAGAGCUAGAGGCGGUUUGGAGCAAAGAAAAAGGAGAUAACAAAAAAAACUGCUAGCUAGCUAGAAACCUAGUCUCAGUUGAGCUGGUAAAGGAAAUAGUCUCACCGAAAGUGCGAUAUAACCCAUGAGCCCUUGAUUAUAUAUCUACUAACGGCAAAGCAGAAGGUUAUUCGGGAGUAUCUCUCUCGCAAUGAAAAGGACAAAGACACCGCUAGAAACAGCUGACUACCGGAAUUCGGGGUUCCGGUGGGGUGAGUACAGUGGGGAAGGCACUUGAACCCCCAAUUGGACGAGGACUUCCCCAUUAUA